rnacentral:rRNA from 1 species
CAGUCGCCGCGGUAAUACAGAGGGUGCGAGCGUUAAUCGGAUUUACUGGGCGUAAAGCGUGCGUAGGCGGCUUUUUAAGUCGGAUGUGAAAUCCCUGAGCUUAACUUAGGAAUUGCAUUCGAUACUGGGAAGCUAGAGUAUGGGAGAGGAUGGUAGAAUUCCAGGUGUAGCGGUGAAAUGCGUAGAGAUCUGGAGGAAUACCGAUGGCGAAGGCAGCCAUCUGGCCUAAUACUGACGCUGAGGUACGAAAGCAUGGGGAGCAAACAGGAUUAGAUACCGUGUAGUCUCUGUCUCUUAUACA